GACGAACGCUGGCGGCGUGCUUAACACAUGCAAGUCGAACGGAAAGGCCCUGCUUGCAGGGUACUCGAGUGGCGAACGGGUGAGUAACACGUGGGUGAUCUGCCCUGCACUUCGGGAUAAGCCUGGGAAACUGGGUCUAAUACCGGAUAGGAGCCAUUUUUAGUGUGAUGGUUGGAAAGUUUUUUCGGUGUAGGAUGAGCUCGCGGCCUAUCAGCUUGUUGGUGGGGUAAUGGCCUACCAAGGCGGCGACGGGUAGCCGGCCUGAGAGGGUGGACGGCCACAUUGGGACUGAGAUACGGCCCAGACUCCUACGGGAGGCAGCAGUGGGGAAUAUUGCACAAUGGGCGCAAGCCUGAUGCAGCGACGCCGCGUGGGGGAUGACGGCCUUCGGGUUGUAAACUCCUUUCGCUGGGGACGAAGCUUUUUGUGACGGUACCUAGAUAAGAAGCACCGGCUAACUACGUG
rnacentral:rRNA from 1 species